GACGAACGCUGGCGGCGUGCUUAACACAUGCAAGUCGAACGCUGAAGACCUGGCUUUUGUUGGGUUGGAUGAGUGGCGAACGGGCGAGUAACACGUGAGUAACCUGCCCUCUUCUUUGGGAUAACGCCCGGAAACGGGUGCUAAUACUGGAUAUUCACUGAUCUUCGCAUGGGGGUUGGUGGAAAGGUUUGUUCUGGUGGGGGAUGGGCUCGCGGCCUAUCCGCUUGUUGGUGGGGUGAUGGCCUACCAAGGCUUUGACGGGUAGCCGGCCUGGGAGGGUGACCGGUCACAUUGGGACUGAGAUACGGCCCAGACUCCUACGGGAGGCAGCAGUGGGGCAUAUUGCACAAUGGGCGAAAGCCUGAUGCAGCGGCGCCGCGUGAGGGAUGGAGGCCUUCGGGUUGUAAACCUCUUUCGCUCAUGGUCAAGCCGCAACUGUGGGUUGUGGUGAGGGUAGUGGGUAAAGAAGCGCCGGCUAACUACGUG
rnacentral:rRNA from 1 species